ACAGAAUUAACCCUUUCUUGUCUAAUAUUGUCAACAUGUGUGUACUUCCUAUUUCCCAUUAAAUAAAUUAUUAAUGAUACAGUAAUACCUUCUCAACUACAAAUUUUGCUUCACAUAGAUAAAACAUAUAACUUCAGACUUUUUGUAAAUGUAAGGAUUUUGUUUUCCUUAUACCUAAGAUGUGGACUUUUCCUCAUGAGAAUAUUGAAGAAAACUGGAAAGUGGUCACAGCAACUAGGAGAGAGAGCCAAACAGCACACAGUAUAAAUGAGGAUUUUGCAAUCACCAGUGGAGGAAUAAAGGUUUCUGAACUCAUCGCUUGGAUAAUUAUCUUUUGCUUCUGGCCCCAUUACUUUGUUCUUUCCACACCGUGUUGGACACAAAGUAUACCAGAGAUUGCCGACUUCACAGCAGCAGUGAACCGGGAGACGCAAAGGCAUCUUUGGAAGCAGCUACACACAGAAGUGCUUAAUAUCUCCCCAGGCAUGUGAGAACUUGUUUAUCUGGCAGGUAUUUCCAAGCACUCUCUGUUCUUUGGACAAUGGAGUUGGCAAUCUGGAGACUGUAACUUCAUAAUAGAGAGGCUUUAGGGAGAGAAGCUUCCUUUUAAAUUCGUUUAAAUGGGUAAGUAUUAGAUAACUUCCCUGAA
rnacentral:lncRNA from 13 species